GCCAGGCAGGCGCCGCCCUGUUCGGUUCCUGCUGCUGUCGCUCCUCGCUCCCCACCACCUCCAGAGCUCCGGUGGGUCACCAUGGAAAGGGAAGCCGCUGCCUGCAAGGCCAGCAGACACAGAGGUCACCCUCCAAUUUUUUCGGGUAACAUUCUGUAAGGACAGAACACCAGGAGGCUACUCCUACCACCAGGAGCAUGUCAGGUAAACAUCCAGAGAGAUGAAGGAAGAAAAAAUUUUAUUUUAGCCACCAAGAAAUACAAGCCGUUCUAAAGAUUAUACUUAAAAGAAAAAAAAAACAAAAAAAGGAAGGAAAAAGGGGACCGAUGAUCUUGCAAUCACGGAAGUUGUAGAGAGCUGGCUGCCUAGAGACACUGUGCCCUUCCCUCCUCCCUCUUUUCCUCUUAUCAACCAGAGGCAGAGACUAAGAAUGCCUUCAAGCAACUAAAGCCUAAAAUAAAAAAGAAAGAAAAGAGGAAGAGGGAGAGGGAGGGAGAGAGAGAGAGAGAGAGAG
rnacentral:lncRNA from 10 species